GCACCCUUAGCUCAGUUGGUAGAGCAACUGACUCUUAAUCAGUGGGUCCAGGGUUCGAGUCCCUGUGGGUGCA
rnacentral:tRNA from 1 species